rnacentral:tRNA from 1 species
UGGGGUGCUGGAAGAUGGGUUCGGCCAUGGCUGUAGUAUAGCCGUGGGCGGGCGGCCGCGGGUUCGAGUCCCGUCGCCCGCUCCA